rnacentral:rRNA from 1 species
AGAGUUUGAUCAUGGCUCAGAUUGAACGCUGGCGGCAUGCCUUACACAUGCAAGUCGAACGGCAGCGGGCCUUCGGGUGCCGGCGAGUGGCGAACGGGUGAGUAAUGCAUCGGAACGUGCCAUUGAGUGGGGGAUAACGUAGCGAAAGUUACGCUAAUACCGCAUAUUCUGUGAGCAGGAAAGCAGGGGACCGCAAGGCCUUGCGCUCUGGGAGCGGCCGAUGUCGGAUUAGCUAGUUGGUGGGGUAAAGGCCUACCAAGGCGACGAUCCGUAGCGGGUCUGAGAGGAUGAUCCGCCACACUGGGACUGAGACACGGCCCAGACUCCUACGGGAGGCAGCAGUGGGGAAUUUUGGACAAUGGGCGAAAGCCUGAUCCAGCCAUGCCGCGUGAGUGAAGAAGGCCUUCGGGUUGUAAAGCUCUUUCGGUGGGGAAGAAAUUGCAUAGGCUAAUACCCUAUGUAGAUGACGGUACCUGGAGAAGAAGCACCGGCUAACUACGUG